GUUUGCACUAGUGCUCCAGG
rnacentral:misc_RNA from 1 species